GGACCCGCACAAGCGGUGGAUGAUGUGGAUUAAUUCGAUGCAACGCGAAAAACCUUACCUACCCUUGACAUGCCAGGAACUUUCCAGAGAUGGAUUGGUGCCCGAAAGGGAGCCUGGACACAGGUGCUGCAUGGCUGUCGUCAGCUCGUGUCGUGAGAUGUUGGGUUAAGUCCCGCAACGAGCGCAACCCUUGUCAUUAAUUGCCAUCAUUCAGUUGGGCACUUUAAUGAGACUGCCGGUGACAAACCGGAGGAAGGUGGGGAUGACGUCAAGUCCUCAUGGCCCUUAUGGGUAGGGCUUCACACGUCAUACAAUGGUCGGUACAGAGGGUUGCCAAGCCGCGAGGUGGAGCCAAUCCCAGAAAGCCGAUCGUAGUCCGGAUCGCAGUCUGCAACUCGACUGCGUGAAGUCGGAAUCGCUAGUAAUCGCGGAUCAGCAUGUCGCGGUGAAUACGUUCCCGGGUCUUGUACACACCGCCCGUCACACCAUGGGAGUGGGUUCUACCAGAAGUAGUUAGCCUAACCGUAAGGAGGGCGAUUACCACGGUAGGAUUCAUGACUGGGGUGAAGUCGUAACAAGGUAGCCGUAUCGGAAGGUGCGGCU
rnacentral:rRNA from 2 species